ACGGAGGGUGCAAGCGUUAUCCGGAUUUACUGGGUUUAAAGGGUGCGCAGGCGGCAAAGUAAGUCAGUGGUGAAAGCCCGGAGCUCAACUCCGGAACUGCCAUUGAUACUGCUUAGCUUGAGUACGGUUGAAGUGGGCGGAAUGUGACAUGUAGCGGUGAAAUGCUUAGAUAUGUCACAGAACACCAAUUGCGAAGGCAGCUCACUAAACCGUCACUGACGCUGAGGCACGAAAGCGUGGGUAGCGAACAGG
rnacentral:rRNA from 1 species